rnacentral:rRNA from 1 species
UACAGAGGGGGCAAGCGUUAUUCGGAAUUAUUGGGCGUAAAGGGCGCGUAGGCGGCUUGGCAAGUGGAAGGUGAAAUCCCUCGGCUUAACCGAGGAACUGCCCUCCAAACUGUCUUGGCUUGAGACCGGGAGAGGUGAGUGGAAUUCCCAGUGUAGCGGUGAAAUGCGUAGAUAUUGGGAGGAACACCAGUGGCGAAGGCGGCUCACUGGACCGGUACUGACGCUGAUGCGUGAAAGCGUGGGGAGCAAACGGG